CCCGGCAGAGGAUAGAGUAAGUCGCCGCGAGGCGGCUGGUCGAGAAAUUCGAC
rfam:Natronomonas moolapensis 8.8.11 complete genome